rnacentral:tRNA from 1 species
CGCAGGGUAGAGCAGUCCGGUAGCUUGUUAGGCUCAUAACCUAAACGUCACGGGUUCAAAUCCCGUCCCUGCAACCA